rnacentral:rRNA from 1 species
UGGGGAAUAUUGCACAAUGGGCGCAAGCCUGAUGCAGCCAUGCCGCGUGUGUGAAGAAGGCCUUCGGGUUGUAAAGCACUUUCAGCGAGGAGGAAGGUGGUGAACUUAAUACGUCAUCAAUUGACGUUACUCGCAGAAGAAGCACCGGCUAACUCCGUGCCAGCAGCCGCGGUAAUACGGAGGGUGCAAGCGUUAAUCGGAAUUACUGGGCGUAAAAGCGCACGCAGGCGGUUUGUUAAGUCAGAUGUGAAAUCCCCGGGCUCAACCUGGGAACUGCAUUUGAAACUGGCAAGCUAGAGUCUCGUAGAGGGGGGUAGAAUUCCAGGUGUAGCGGUGAAAUGCGUAGAGAUCUGGAGGAAUACCGGUGGCGAAGGCGGCCCCCUGGACGAAGACUGACGCUCAGGUGCGAAAAGCGUGGGGAGCAAACAGGAUUAGAUAACCCUGGUAGUCCACGCUGUAAAACGAUGUCGAUUUUGGAGGUUGUGCCCUUGAGGCGUGGCUUCCGGAGCUAACGCGUUAAA